rnacentral:rRNA from 1 species
UACGGAGGGUGCGAGCGUUGUCCGGAAUCACUGGGCGUAAAGGGCGCGUAGGCGGCCUUCUAAGUCGGACGUGAAAUCCCCGGGCUCAACCCGGGAACUGCGUCCGAUACUGGAAGGCUUGAAUCCGGGAGAGGGAUGCGGAAUUCCAGGUGUAGCGGUGAAAUGCGUAGAUAUCUGGAGGAACACCGGUGGCGAAGGCGGCAUCCUGGACCGGUAUUGACGCUGAGGCGCGAAAGCCAGGGGAGCAAACGGG